rnacentral:rRNA from 1 species
ACCAGUGUCGAAGCGGCUGUCUGGUCUGUAACUGACGCUGAGGCUCGAAAGCAUGGGUAGCGAACAGGAUUAGAUACCCUGGUAGUCCAUGCCGUAAACGAUGAGUGCUAAGUGUUGGAGGGUUUCCGCCCUUCAGUGCUGCAGCUAACGCAUUAAGCACUCCGCCUGGGGAGUACGACCGCAAGGUUGAAACUCAAAGGAAUUGACGGGGGCCCGCACAAGCGGUGGAGCAUGUGGUUUAAUUCGAAGCUACGCGAAAAACCUUACCAGGUCUUGACAUCUUCUGCCAAUUUCAGAGAUUAGGCGUUCCCCUUCGGGGACGAGAAUGACAGGUGGGGGCAUGGUUGUCGUCAGCUCGUGUCGGUGGAGAUGUUGGGUUAAGUCCCGCAACGAGCGCAACCCUUUUUUUAUUAGUUGCCAGCAUUUAGUUGGGCACUCUAGCAAGACUGCCGGGGGACAAACCGGGGGAAAGGUGGGGGA